rnacentral:rRNA from 1 species
AGAGUUUGAUCCUGGCUCAGAAUGAACGUUGGCGGCGUGGAUUAGGCAUGCAAGUCGCGCGACAAGUCUCCGAUAGCUUGCUAUUGGAGAUGGAGGAGCGGCGAAAGGGUGAGUAACGCGUGGAUACCUGCCCCUAGGCCCGGGAUAGCGUUGGGAAACCGGCGGUAAUACCGGAUAAUAUCUCUGGAUCAAAGGUGUGAUUCCGCCUGGGGAUGGGUCCGCGUCCUAUUAGCUUGUUGGUGGGGUAAUGGCCUACCAAGGCAAAGAUGGGUACCGGGUGUGAGAGCAUGGCCCGGCACACUGGGACUGAGACACUGCCCAGACACCUACGGGUGGCUGCAGUCGAGAAUCUUCCGCAAUGGGCGCAAGCCUGACGGAGCGACGCCGCGUGCGGGAUGAAGGCCUUCGGGUUGUAAACCGCUGUCAGUAGGGAGCAAAUCCCUAGGGGCUAUCCCCUAGGGUUGAGCGAUCUGCAGAGGAAGCACAGGCUAAGUUCGUGCCAGCAGCCGCGGUAACACGAACUGUGCAAACGUUAUUCGGAAUCACUGGGCUUAAAGAGUCCGUAGGCGGCCUGGUAGGUGGGGUGUGAAAUCCCACGGCUCAACCGUGGAAUUGCGCUUCAAACCACCAAGCUCGAGGGAGAUAGAGGAGAGCGGAACUGAUGGUGGAGCGGUGAAAUGCGUUGAUAUCAUCAGGAACACCGGUGGCGAAAGCGGCUCUCUGGGUCUCUUCUGACGCUGAGGGACGAAAGCUAGGGGAGCGAACGGGAUUAGAUACCCCGGUAGUCCUAGCUGUAAACGAUGAGCACUAGAUCGGGGGGGACUUCCACAUCCUCUUGGUCGUAGCGAAAGUGUUUAAGUGCUCCGCCUGGGGAGUAUGGGUCGCAAGGCUGAACUCAAAGGAAUUGACGGGGGCUCACACAAGCGUGGAGGAUGUGGCUUUAAUUCGAAGCUACGCGAAGAACUUAUCCCUGGAUCUGACAUGCUUGGUACUUUCUGUGAAGCCAGAAGUGCUCUCGGGGAGCCAUUGCCAGUGCUGCAUUGCCUGUCGUCAGCUCGUGUUCGGUGAAGAAUGUU